rnacentral:rRNA from 1 species
AGAGUUUGAUCAUGGCUCAGGACGAACGCUGGCGGCGUGCCUAAUACAUGCAAGUCGAGCGAGCUUGCCUAGAUGAUUUUAGUGCUUGCACUAAAUGAAACUAGAUACAAGCGAGCGGCGGACGGGUGAGUAACACGUGGGUAACCUGCCCAAGAGACUGGGAUAACACCUGGAAACAGAUGCUAAUACCGGAUAACAACACUAGACGCAUGUCUAGAGUUUGAAAGAUGGUUCUGCUAUCACUCUUGGAUGGACCUGCGGUGCAUUAGCUAGUUGGUAAGGUAACGGCUUACCAAGGCAAUGAUGCAUAGCCGAGUUGAGAGACUGAUCGGCCACAUUGGGACUGAGACACGGCCCAAACUCCUACGGGAGGCAGCAGUAGGGAAUCUUCCACAAUGGACGAAAGUCUGAUGGAGCAACGCCGCGUGAGUGAAGAAGGGUUUCGGCUCGUAAAGCUCUGUUGGUAGUGAAGAAAGAUAGAGGUAGUAACUGGCCUUUAUUUGACGGUAAUUACUUAGAAAGUCACGGCUAACUACGUGCCAGCAGCCGCGGUAAUACGUAGGUGGCAAGCGUUGUCCGGAUUUAUUGGGCGUAAAGCGAGUGCAGGCGGUUCAAUAAGUCUGAUGUGAAAGCCUUCGGCUCAACCGGAGAAUUGCAUCAGAAACUGUUGAACUUGAGUGCAGAAGAGGAGAGUGGAACUCCAUGUGUAGCGGUGGAAUGCGUAGAUAUAUGGAAGAACACCAGUGGCGAAGGCGGCUCUCUGGUCUGCAACUGACGCUGAGGCUCGAAAGCAUGGGUAGCGAACAGGAUUAGAUACCCUGGUAGUCCAUGCCGUAAACGAUGAGUGCUAAGUGUUGGGAGGUUUCCGCCUCUCAGUGCUGCAGCUAACGCAUUAAGCACUCCG